rnacentral:rRNA from 1 species
AGUGAACGCUGGCGGUAGGCCUAACACAUGCAAGUCGAACGGCAGCACAGGAGAGCUUGCUCUCUGGGUGGCGAGUGGCGGACGGGUGAGGAAUACAUCGGAAUCUACCUUUUCGUGGGGGAUAACGUAGGGAAACUUACGCUAAUACCGCAUACGACCUACGGGUGAAAGUGGGGGACCGCAAGGCCUCACGCGAUUAGAUGAGCCGAUGUCCGAUUAGCUAGUUGGCGGGGUAAUGGGCACCAAGGCGACGAUCGGUAGCUGGUCUGAGAGGAUGAUCAGCCACACUGGAACUGAGACACGGUCCAGACUCCUACGGGAGGCAGCAGUGGGGAAUAUUGGACAAUGGGCGCAAGCCUGAUCCAGCCAUACCGCGUGGGUGAAGAAGGCCUUCGGGUUGUAAAGCCCUUUUGUUGGGAAAGAAAUCCUAUCGGUUAAUAACCGGUGGGGAUGACGGUACCCAAAGAAUAAGCACCGGCUAACUUCGUGCCAGCCGCCGCCGUAA